rnacentral:rRNA from 1 species
CAGCCGCCACGGUAAAACGAAGGGUGCAAGCGUUACUCGGAAUCACUGGGCGUAAAGGACGCGUAGGCGGAUUAUCAAGUCUCUUGUGAAAUCUAACGGCUUAACCGUUAAACUGCUCGGGAAACUGAUAAUCUAGAGUAAGGGAGAGGCAGAUGGAAUUCUUGGUGUAGGGGUAAAAUCCGUAGAUAUCAAGAAGAAUACCUAUUGCGAAGGCGAUCUGCUGGAACUUAACUGACGCUAAUGCGUGAAAGCGUGGGGAGCAAACAGGAUUAGAUACCCGAGUAGUCCCUGUCUCUUAUAC